GUAGGUGAACCUGCGGAAGGAUCAUUACCGAGUGCGGGUCCUUUGGGCCCAACCUCCCAUCCGUGUCUAUUAUACCCUGUUGCUUCGGCGGGCCCGCCGCUUGUCGGCCGCCGGGGGGGCGCCUUUGCCCCCCGGGCCCGUGCCCGCCGGAGACCCCAACACGAACACUGUCUGAAAGCGUGCAGUCUGAGUUGAUUGAAUGCAAUCGGUUAAAACUUUCAACAAUGGAUCUCUUGGUUCCG
rnacentral:misc_RNA from 1 species